rnacentral:rRNA from 1 species
CUGCGGAGGGAUCAUUACCGAGUUUUCAACUCCCUAACCCUUCUGUGAACCUACCUAUCGUUGCUUCGGCGGACUCGCCCCAGCCCGGACGCGGACUGGACCAGCGGCCCGCCGGGGACCUCAAACUCUUGUAUUCCAGCAUCUUCUGAAUACGCCGCAAGGCAAAACAAAUGAAUCAAAACUUUCAACAACGGAUCUCUUGGCUCUGGCAUCGAUGAAGAACGCAGCGAAACGCGAUAAGUAAUGUGAAUUGCAGAAUCCAGUGAAUCAUCGAAUCUUUGAACGCACAUUGCGCCCGCCAGCAUUCUGGCGGGCAUGCCUGUUCGAGCGUCAUUUCAACCCUCGACCUCCCCUUGGGGGGGUCGGCGUUGGGGACCGGCAGCACACCGCCGGCCCUGAAAUGGAGUGGCGGCCCGUCCGCGGCGACCUCUGCGCAGUAAUACAGCUCGCACCGGAACCCCGACGCGGCCACGCCGUAAAACACCCAACUUCUGAACGUUGACCUCGAAUCAGGUAGGACUACCCGCUGAACUUAAGCAUA